AAGAGAAUAGUUCAUAAGAUAUAGAACAUUAGCUUGUCAUGCUAAAUGAGGAAGUUUUUCCUUCUCUUA
rnacentral:tRNA from 1 species